rnacentral:rRNA from 1 species
UACGUAGGGACCGAGCGUUGUCCGGAUUCAUUGGGCGUAAAGAGCUCGUAGGCGGCCACUCAAGUCGAAUGUGAAACCUCGAGGCUCAACCUCGAGCCUGCAUUCGAUACUGGGCGGCUAGAGUCUGGUAGGGGGAUCUGGAAUUCCUGGUGUAGCGGUGGAAUGCGCAGAUAUCAGGAGGAACACCGGUGGCGAAGGCGGUGAUCUGGGCCAGUACUGACGCUGAGGAGCGAAAGCGUGGGUAGCAAACAGG